rnacentral:rRNA from 1 species
GAUGAACGCUGGCGGCGUGCCUAAUACAUGCAAGUCGAGCGAACAGACGAGGAGCUUGCUCCUCUGACGUUAGCGGCGGACGGGUGAGUAACACGUGGAUAACCUACCUAUAAGACUGGGAUAACUUCGGGAAACCGGAGCUAAUACCGGAUAAUAUAUUGAACCGCAUGGUUCAAUAGUGAAAGACGGUUUUGCUGUCACUUAUAGAUGGAUCCGCGCCGCAUUAGCUAGUUGGUAAGGUAACGGCUUACCAAGGCAACGAUGCGGAGCCGACCUGAGAGGGUGAUCGGCCACACUGGAACUGAGACACGGUCCAGACUCCUACGGGGGGCAGCAGUAGGGAAUCUUCCGCAAUGGGCGAAAGCCUGACGGAGCAACGCCGCGUGAUUGAUGAAGGUCUUCGGAUCGUAAAACUCUGUUAUUAGGGAAGAACAAAUGUGUAAGUAACUAUGCACGUCUUGACGGUACCUAAUCAGAAAGCCACGGCUAACUACGCG